AUUUUAGCUGUUUUAAGGGGGUAUCAUGUAACUUGAUUCUUCACUACAACUAAACUUUUGCUGACCAUUGCAGUAUUUUACUUACAUGGUUGCUUAUGAACUACCAUUUUUAGGAAAAAGUAUUGCAUCGGUGCUUUCCUAUCCUUUGAGAGUGGACCUUUUAUUCUUUAUCUUCAGUGAUGGGUCGUUCGUUGUGCUGAAAGAGAAUCUGUGACAAAUACUAGAUGAGAGAGAGAGAGCCCCUGGACCAAAG
rnacentral:misc_RNA from 1 species